UACGUAGGGGGCUAGCGUUGUCCGGAAUCAUUGGGCGUAAAGCGCGUGUAGGCGGUCCGGUAAGUCCGCUGUGAAAGUCGGGGGCUCAACCCUCGAAUGCCGGUGGAUACUGUCGAGCUAGAGUCCGGAAGAGGCGAGUGGAAUUCCUGGUGUAGCGGUGAAAUGCGCAGAUAUCAGGAGGAACACCAAUGGCGAAGGCAGCUCGCUGGGACGGUACUGACGCUGAGACGCGAAAGCGUGGGGAGCAAACAGG
rnacentral:rRNA from 1 species